GCUCGUGUCGUGAGAUGUUGGGUUAAGUCCCGCAACGAGCGCAACCCUUGUCAUUAGUUGCUACAUUCAGUUGGGCACUCUAAUGAGACUGCCGGUGACAAACCGGAGGAAGGUGGGGAUGACGUCAAGUCCUCAUGGCCCUUAUGGGUAGGGCCUCACACGUAAUACAAUGGCGCGUACAGAGGGUUGCCAAGGGGUGACCUGGAGCCAAUCCCGCAAAGCGCGUCGUAGUCCGGAUUGGAGUCUGCAACUCGACUCCAUGAAGUCGGAAUCGCUAGUAAUCGCGGAUCAGCAUGUCGCGGUGAAUACGUUCCCGGGUCUUGUACACACCGCCCGUCACACCAUGGGAGUGGGUUUCACCAGAAGCCGGUCGCUUAACCGCAAGGAUGGCGCCGACCACGGUGAGAUUCAUGACUGGGGUGAAGUCGUAACAAGGU
rnacentral:rRNA from 1 species